rnacentral:lncRNA from 1 species
GUUGUGGAACCACACUAAUCAUCUGAGACCUGUAGUGCAAUGCUAAAAAUAUUGGCGAAAUAUGCUGUAGGUUAACCAUGGAACCAUGUUGGAUAUCUGGGUGAUAUAGACUGUGUCCAGGGUUUGCUAGAAGGUUGAGUGGAUGUAAACCAGGAAAUAGUGGAUUGACUGCUCUUAUAUUGCUGCUAUAUGCGGACAUAAUGAGAUUGCCACUUGUCUGCUGGAACAUGAUGCAAACAUAGAUCUUGGUGAUGCUGUAAACUUUUCUCCUCUACAUAUAGCAUGCAACUUCGGACAUGAUAAGGUUGUCGAGGUUUUGUUGAAAUAUGGUGCUGACGUCAACAUCAGUGGAAGUGUAGGUGACAGACCACUACAUCUCGCUGCAGGAAAGGGUUAUGUAAGGGUCACGCAGUAUCUAGUUGAAGGUACUGGAAACUCCAAGGCUGAUGUGAAUGUGAAAGAUGAUGAGGAACACACGCCCAUACAUUUUUGUUGUAAGUCUGGCCAUCUGGUUGUGUUACAUUAUCUUCUUGAACAGAAAGCUGAUCCUCAUGUAGCAAACAUCUACGGUGAUACACCACUACAUUUGUAAGUAUAGUAUCUAUG